AAGAACGCUGGCGGCAGGCCUAAGACAUGCAAGUCGUACGCGAACGACCUUUCGGGGUUAAGUAGAGUGGCGAACGGGUUAGUAACGCGUGGGAACAUACACAGCACAGGGGGAUAACCAUUGGAAACGAUGGCUAAUACCGCAUACGCCCUAUUGGGGAAAGAUUUAUCGGUGUUGGAUUGGCCCGCGUUAGAUUAGCUAGUUGGUGGGGUAAUGGCUCACCAAGGCGACGAUUUAUAGCUGGUUUGAGAGGAUGAUCAGCAACACUGGAACUGAGACACGGUCCAGACUCCUACGGGAGGCAGCAGUCGGGAAUAUUGUGCAAUGGGGGCAACCCUGACACAGCCAUGCCGCGCGAGUGAAGAAGGCCUUAGGGUUGUAAAGCUCUUUCAGAUGUGAGGAUGAUGACGAUAGCAUCAGAAGAAGCUCCGGCUAACUUCGUGCCAGCAGCCACGGUAAUACGAAGGGAGCUAGCGUNGUUCGGAAUUACUGGGCGUAAAGGGCGUGU
rnacentral:rRNA from 1 species